GGAAAACAACAGAAAGAGAAGGGAUCAUUCUAGCGUGCCCUUCCACCAUACCUCGUCUGUUGAUAAGGCAGGACACACGACACUGAUCUGCACAUAAUCCGCGGACCUGCUGGGACCUUGUCGGAGUGAAUUGCGGAACAGCGGAAAAGAGCUCUCUGACCAGUUUCGGAUCAUUUCAUGAGGACACGCGCGCGCUGCACAUAAGCGAUUAUUUAUUUUCCAAAUCAGAUUUACAAUUCUACGGGAGGAUAAGGUGUUUGGAGUGGCGGAAAUGGAGUCGUUUGCAAUGGUUGUCAUUUAUCUGAACAUGGAGCUCUUCCUAUGUACUACCAAUGAAAUAUAAUGUGUUGCCGAACUCCUACGCGCUUGUUAUCUUCAGGUGAGCUUUACGAAGGUCGACGGAGAAGUGUUGGAGCAGCAUGGAGACACGGGUAAGCGUCCUUCUCCUUCUUCCAUGUCUGCCACGGGGAAGAGAUUUCCAUGGAGCUCUCUAUUCGUCAUACUUUCUACAGGAAUCUGGGGCACCAGAGAGGUCUUCGU